CGAGGAAUUCCUAGUAAACGCGAGUCAUCAGCUCGCAUUGAUUACGUCCCUGCCCUUUGUACACACCGCCCGUCGCACCUACCGAUUGAAUGAUUCGGUGAAAAUCUCGGACUUUGGCAUGGAACUUUAUUGUGACUUGCCGAGGGAAGUUAUUUAAACCUCAUCAUUUAGAGGAAGGUGAAGUCGUAACAAGGUUUCCGUAGGUGAACCUGCGGAAGGAUCAUU
rnacentral:rRNA from 11 species